AACUAAAAUUUACUAAUAUGAAAUUGCUUGCUUUAAUGAAUCGACUCCAAACUUUAAAUAAUCAAAGUGCAACAAACUUUCUCUGGUCCACUGAAGAUGGAAGCAGGUGUUUAGGGAAACGUGAAUUCAGCAACUGACAGAUAGUAAUGAAGAUCGACUCUUGAACUAAUAAUUGAAAACUAGUAUUGCAGAUGCAAGCAGUUGGAAUAUGGCGGAUGUGAGGCCCUUUUGUCACGAGUCCGAGAACAGAUGAUCAAAGAUGCCCUUAAACAGCUCCCCAAACAGCCCCCCGAAGGCGGCCUUUAACAGCUCCGCCAAAGCGGCCUUCAACAGCCUCUUCAUUAUGGCGAAGUUCCGAUCCUCAUGCCUGACGACCAGAGGUGUCCUCGGAUCCAUCUUUUGUUGUUGAUGAUCAAUACUCGUGUUCUUGGGGCUUGGUGGUGUCUGUGAAGUCUGAA
rnacentral:lncRNA from 1 species